rnacentral:rRNA from 1 species
AUUGAACGCUGGCGGCAUGCCUUACACAUGCAAGUCGAACGGUAACAGGUCUUCGGAUGCUGACGAGUGGCGAACGGGUGAGUAAUACAUCGGAACGUGCCUAGUAGUGGGGGAUAACUACUCGAAAGAGUGGCUAAUACCGCAUGAGAUCUACGGAUGAAAGCAGGGGAUCGCAAGACCUUGUGCUACUAGCGCGGCCGACGGCAGAUUAGGUAGUUGGUGGGAUAAAAGCUUACCAAGCCGACGAUCUGUAGCUGGUCUGAGAGGACGAUCAGCCACACUGGGACUGAGACACGGCCCAGACUCCUACGGGAGGCAGCAGUGGGGAAUUUUGGACAAUGGGCGCAAGCCUGAUCCAGCAAUGCCGCGUGCAGGAUGAAGGCCUUCGGGUUGUAAACUGCUUUUGUACGGAACGAAAAGCCCUGGGUUAAUACCCUGGGGUCAUGACGGUACCGUAAGAAUAAGCACCGGCUAACUACGUGCCAGCCGCCGCAGUAAUAC